CUAGGCAGGAGGCAGGGGAUCAGAUUUCCUUUGGGUGCAGGUAAAGCUUUAAGGUCAGUUCUCGCAAGGAGAUGUACUGAGGAAGAGGAAGGAGGGAAUUUUAGAUACCUAUUUGCUGCUCUGAAAUCUGCUGGGAAGUAUUUGUCUUUUUCCUCCUAUCAAAUGACUUUGGCGGGAACCCCACUAGAAGAAAUCAAACAAGACAGCCGAAGCCUGGGCUGCUGCAAGGGGAAAAACAAGUCCAGAGGGAACUUGCAAAUCGCUGCCUGUCCUACAAGUCUGU